CUCUAUGGCCAUACCACCCUAAAUGUACCAGAUCUUAGCUGAUCUUGGAAGCUAAGCAAGGUCAGGCCUGGUUAGUACUUGGAUGGGAGAUUUCAGGUUUUCUCUUGAUA
rnacentral:rRNA from 1 species